UACGUAGGGUGCGAGCGUUAAUCGGAAUUACUGGGCGUAAAGCGUGCGCAGGCGGUUCGUUGUGUCGGCGGUGAAAGCCCCGGGCUUAACCUGGGAAUGGCCGUCGAAACUGGCGAACUGGAGUGUGGCAGAGGGGGGUGGAAUUCCGCGUGUAGCAGUGAAAUGCGUAGAGAUGCGGAGGAACACCGAUGGCGAAGGCAGCCCCCUGGGUCAAAACUGACGCUCAUGCACGAAAGCGUGGGGAGCAAACAGG
rnacentral:rRNA from 1 species